rnacentral:rRNA from 1 species
GAUGAACGCUGGCGGCGUGCCUAAUACAUGCAAGUCGAGCGGACAGACGAGGAGCUUGCUCCUCUGACGUUAGCGGCGGACGGGUGAGUAACACGUGGAUAACCUACCUAUAAGACUGGGAUAACUUCGGGAAACCGGAGCUAAUACCGGAUAAUAUAUUGAACCGCAUGGUUCAAUAGUGAAAGACGGUUUUGCUGUCACUUAUAGAUGGAUCCGCGCCGCAUUAGCUAGUUGGUAAGGUAACGGCUUACCAAGGCGACGAUGCGUAGCCGACCUGAGAGGGUGAUCGGCCACACUGGAACUGAGACACGGUCCAGACUCCUACGGGAGGCAGCAGUAGGGAAUCUUCCGCAAUGGGCGAAAGCUUGACGGAGCAACGCCGCGUGAGUGAUGAAGGUCUUCGGAUCGUAAAACUCUGUUAUUAGGGAAGAACAAAUGUGUAAGUAACUAUGCACGUCUUGACGGUACCUAAUCAGAAAGCCACGGCUAACUACGUG